GAGGGUAUAGCUCAGUGGUAGAGUAUCUGCGUAGCAUGUACAAGGUCCUGGGUUCAAUCCCCAGUACCUCCA
rnacentral:tRNA from 1 species